AAUCAGAUUUUCUUUUGUUUUUCAAGAAAACAGUCACUGUUGAUCCAUGAGAGAUGCAGCCUAGAGUGUUCCAGCUAUUAGAAAUUACACACCACAAGCAGCCCUAUGGCAACAAGGAGGAUCAAACAGACCUCUUUGUGAGCUGUUGGUACAUGCGAUGAAGGUGAAAGGACUGGUAAUUCAACCUAAUGUUUCUGGAGGACAGCCUGAGAGAUCCUGAAAAAGAAGGUCUAGGGAAGACCCAAACAGUUAAAAGAACCCAAAAAUGAACUUUGUGUCAAGCAAAAUUCUUGCGGCUACAUGUGUAUGAGACAUGACAGCUCUUGGAAACCCUCAGGUCUCAGAUACCAUAUAGACAUGAAAAGUGGGUUCCUCCAGUACAGGUUGUCAUUUUUUAUCCUUUCAAGGUAAGAGAGGACAACUUACGUGUCUGUGCCACUUAUAGACACGUUUGACUGUUGCAGCCGAAAAGCUCCCGCACUGCGGUGCCGGAGGCAUCAGGCACUGCGCCGAGCAGCCGUGGCGAUGACGGUGGCAACGGCAGAGCUGACGCAGGACGGGCGCCCACCGCGGCCGGCCGUCAUCGGGCAGGCACAGGCGCCAUCGUACGGCCGGGAAGGGACGGGCUCUGGAGGCUGAGCUUGGCGCGGUACCUGGAAACGGCUGUGAGAAAGGGAGGGCAGCCGCUGGGAGGCCUGCAGGUGCCCAGCCCCGGCCAGGCAGCGAGAUGCCUUUCAGAUGCUUUUGGGUUUUGUAUGUAGCGGAACAAAACCGGCAGAGACGUUACUGAGGAAUUCACGCUUCUUCGGAGCGCGGUGUGAGCCGUGCCUGCGCUCGGCACUGCCCACGGACACGUGGAACUCUGAGAAAGAGUUACUGACGCGGCGCUGCAGCUCUGUGCCGUUGCACAAGAGGCCUCCGUGCGGUACUGCAGGGCUCUGUUGCGUCACACCGCCUCCUUACAUCAUCCUGAAGUAACAGCGCCUGACGCCACGCCUGCAGUCAGCGGCGGGCCUGGAGCAGUGCUCGUGUUUAACUGGAGCCACUGCACACUCCUGUAGGGGAGGUCAAACAUCAGGGCUGCGCGGAAGUUGCACAUAAUGCAACAAAAUAAAAUGGUGUCCUCAU
rnacentral:lncRNA from 7 species